rnacentral:lncRNA from 1 species
GAUUGCGAGGAAGUUCUCUCUACAAAAUAGUGUGACGGGGAGGUGGAGGUUGGUUGGUGGUGGGGAGGGCGGUGUAUGACGCAAACGGAGAAGUGUAGCAGGGAAGGCGAUAGAUGAUGGGGAUGGAAGAGGACCAUGGAGAGGGUGGUAGAUGGCGGGGAUGGAUGAGGGUGACACCUAGCGGGGAUGGAGGGCCGAAGGAAGGUCGGCGGGCGACGAGGUUGGAGGAACAAGACUUCUCUUAUUAUUGCAUUUAGGUUGGAGAUGGAAAAAAAAAGUCAAUAUAGUUAAGAACCCCCAUUUUGCAUAUGUUGUUUCCAUUAGGCAGCAUUAACCUUACGGUACUCAUCUCAAAGAGCCAUCCACUAUCAGACGGUUGGGCUCAUGAAAGAAGAUCAAUCAUUUUUUUGCAUGAAAGAUACAACCCAAACCCUUAAAAAUGAUGAAAGAUAUGUAUUUUUCUAAAUUUUAAGGG